UACGUAGGUGGCAAGCGUUGUCCGGAUUUAUUGGGUUUAAAGGGUGCGUAGGCGGCUUUGUAAGUCAGCGGUGAAAUACUCUAGCUUAACUAGAGGGGUGCCAUUGAUACUGCAGAGCUUGAGUACAGAUGAGGUAGGCGGAAUUGACGGUGUAGCGGUGAAAUGCAUGGAUAUCGUCAAGAACACCGAUAGCGAAGGCAGCUUACUGGGCUGUAACUGACGCUGAUGCACGAAAGUGUGGGGAUCAAACAGG
rnacentral:rRNA from 1 species